AGCGAACGCUGGCGGCAGGCUUAACACAUGCAAGUCGAGCGGGCGUAGCAAUACGUCAGCGGCAGACGGGUGAGUAACGCGUGGGAACAUACCUUUUGGUUCGGAACAACACAGGGAAACUUGUGCUAAUACCGGAUAAGCCCUUACGGGGAAAGAUUUAUCGCCGAAAGAUUGGCCCGCGUCUGAUUAGCUAGUUGGUGAGGUAAUGGCUCACCAAGGCGACGAUCAGUAGCUGGUCUGAGAGGAUGAUCAGCCACAUUGGGACUGAGACACGGCCCAAACUCCUACGGGAGGCAGCAGUGGGGAAUAUUGGACAAUGGGCGCAAGCCUGAUCCAGCCAUGCCGCGUGAGUGAUGAAGGCCCUAGGGUUGUAAAGCUCUUUUGUGCGGGAAGAUAAUGACGGUAC
rnacentral:rRNA from 1 species